GAGGCCGAGACGAUGAGAUCUUUGUCAGAGCAUCUGAGGGCAAAUGUUGGAGUCAAUAUUAAAGACCUUGAAUACAUUCAGCCGGAGGCCAUAAAAUACCAUUUGAUUCCAAUAUAGUGCCGGGAAUUGCUUCAGUCCUUCAACCAAAGAGCCAAAAGACCAAGUUGAGGAAAGAGAUCCAGUGCCUGAAGAAUGAAAUCGAUGGUUACAUCAGAGGAAAUGACGAUCUAACAGCCACUGCUGCCAUUCUUUUGUUGAUGACCCACUUCAAAGAGAAGGACAAAUCUCUGUUCCUCUUGGCAGAUGUCACUGGAACUUAAUAAGGCCCAAAUUCCUUUGCCAGACACAUCAAGGCUGAUCAUGCUUGGAAAUACUCUAUUGGGUUUCUCAAAACGGAUGGUGUCGAUCGAGGUGUUGGGGGUUACCCUGGGGGUCGGGUGUGGGGCUACACCAAUGCCAUGAUUACUGUAUAUAUGUAAUAACCUUUGUAUGCUUGCAAUGUGCAAUGAUGGAAAAGUACUGGGUAAUGGAGAUGUACUGCUUUAGUUCUCAGGCUGAGAACUGCCUGCACCUGCUGAUAGUCACACAGCCUCAAGGCUGAGAUAGUAGAGUGAGAAACCAGUCUAGACAUGUUUUUCCUCAUCUUAGAUACUUUGUAUCUAAUCAAAUGCAACAAUGUUAAAGUAUGAUUGACAGUAGGUUGUUCACACCAACUAAGUAUAAAGAGUGUUGUCUCGUGUUUCACCACACAGAUAUUUAUUGACUACUGAGGUAUUCUGUAUGUGAAUCUCUGUCUGCAAUUGCAUUUUAUUACUAAAUAGUUUUAUACUAAGGUUCCUGUGUCUGUGUCAUCUAUCUGGAAGACUGAUUAUUGAAGGAAACUUGCUGUAAAUGUACAGCAAGGAUGCUGUAAUAUGU
rnacentral:lncRNA from 8 species